rnacentral:rRNA from 1 species
UAUACCGUGAAACUGCGAAUGGCUCAUUAAAUCAGUUAUCGUUUAUUUGAUAGUACCUUACUACAUGGAUAACCGUGGUAAUUCUAGAGCUAAUACAUGCUAAAAACCUCGACUUCGGAAGGGGUGUAUUUAUUAGAUAAAAAACCAAUGCCCUUCGGGGCUCCUUGGUGAUUCAUAAUAACUUAACGAAUCGCAUGGCCUUGUGCCGGCGAUGGUUCAUUCAAAUUUCUGCCCUAUCAACUUUCGAUGGUAUGGUCUUGGCUUACCAUGGUUUCAACGGGUAACGGGGAAUUAGGGUUCUAUUCCGGAGAGGGAGCCUGAGAAACGGCUACCACAUCCAAGGAAGGCAGCAGGCGCGCAAAUUACCCAAUCCCGAUACGGGGAGGUAGUGACAAUAAAUACUGAUACAGGGCUCUUUUGGGUCUUGUAAUUGGAAUGAGUACAAUUUAAAUCCCUUAACGAGGAACAAUUGGAGGGCAAGUCUGGUGCCAGCAGCCGCGGUAAUUCCAGCUCCAAUAGCGUAUAUUAAAGUUGUUGCAGUUAAAAAGCUCGUAGUUGAACCUUGGGCCUGGUUGGCCGGUCCGCCUCACCGCGUGCACUGGUCCGACCGGGUCUUUCCUUCUGAGGAGCCGCAUGCCCUUCACUGGGUGUGUCGGGGAAUCAGGACUUUUACUUUGAAAAAAUUAGAGUGUUCAAAGCAGGCCUAUGCUCGAAUACAUUAGCAUGGAAUAAUAGAAUAGGACGUGUGGUUCUAUUUUGUUGGUUUCUAGGACCGCCGUAAUGAUUAAUAGGGACAGUCGGGGAUAUCAGUAUUCAAUUGUCAGAGGUGAAAUUCUUGGAUUUAUUGAAGACUAACUACUGCGAAAGCAUUUAUCAAGGAUGUUUUCAUUAAUCAGUGAACGAAAGUUAGGGGAUCGAAGACGAUCAGAUACCGUCGUAGUCUUAACCAUAAACUAUGCCGACUAGGGAUCGGGCGAUGUUAUCUUUUUGACUCGCUCGGCACCUUACGAGAAAUCAAAGUCUUUGGGUUCU